AAUCAUUUAUUAAGCAUUGCCCUGGCCUAAGGCACCACAUGGGUCAUUUCUUCCAGGCUCCAACUUGCUUCUGCUUUGCCAUAUGGUAACACACCGUAUUAUGGAAGCACCAUCAUUACCGCCAUUUGCAGGGGAAGCCUAAAGAGAUAAAUGCCAGCCAGCAUCCCUGUCUCUGGGGCCCUGGAGAGGCCUUCAACACACCUGGCCUCACUGCCCUGUGGCUUCAACAAAGAGGCCGAGCAUCUCCUAUAAACCUUGAGGUCCAUGGAUGACAUAGCGGAAUGAUGGAUUUCAGAAAAGGCAGGUGCUUCUCACUCUUUAAAUUUUUGUUUAUUCUUUCCAAGUUUCCCAUCAACAGCCCUGCAGUAAAAAUUCAGGGCUUCAGAGACAAACAUUUCAUGAGUACAGACUGUGAUGAGGAAAAGCAAGCCAUUCCCUCUCUACCAGGAUCCAGAGCACACUGCUGUUACGACUCCGGAACCGAUAAGGAAGCUAUGUGUGGAAGUACGAGCUCGGGUCGCCUUCUGACCCUCUGUGACGGUCUAUUUCAGGCAGUUAUGGAUAGAUAACAUUACAGACACUGGUAAUUAAAACAACACUAAUUUUG
rnacentral:lncRNA from 1 species